rnacentral:rRNA from 1 species
AUUGAACGCUGGCGGCAUGCUUUACACAUGCAAGUCGAACGGUAACAGGGUGCUUGCACCGCUGACGAGUGGCGAACGGGUGAGUAAUGCGUCGGAACGUGCCGAGUAGUGGGGGAUAACGCAGCAAAAGUUGUGCUAAUACCGCAUACGUACUGAGGUAGAAAGGGGGGGACCUUCGGGCCUCACGCUAUUCGAGCGGCCGACGUCUGAUUAGCUAGUAGGUGAGGUAAAGGCUCACCUAGGCGACGAUAAGUAGCGGGUCUGAGAGGAUGAUCCGCCACACUGGGACUGAGACACGGCCCAGACUCCUACGGGAGGCAGCAGUGGGGAAUUUUGGACAAUGGGCGAAAGCCUGAUCCAGCCAUGCCGCGUGUCUGAAGAAGGCCUUCGGGUUGUAAAGGACUUUUGUCAGGGAGGAAAUCCCUAGUGCUAAUAACACUGGGGGAUGACAGUACCUGAAGAAUAAGCACCGGCUAACUACGUGCCAGCCGCCGCCGUAA